rnacentral:rRNA from 1 species
GAUCAUGGCUCAGGAUGAACGCUAGCGGCAGGCUUAACACAUGCAAGUCGAGGGGCAGCGAGAUCAAAGCUUGCUUUGGUUGUCGGCGACCGGCGCACGGGUGCGUAACGCGUAUGCAACCUACCCACUACAGGGGGACAACACUGAGAAAUCGGUACUAAUACCCCAUAAUAUCUUGGAAGGCAUCUUCCGGUGAACUACGUCGGUAGUGAGUGGGUCGGAUGCGUUGUUAGUUAGUCUGGUUGGG